UACGUAGGGGGCAAGCGUUGUCCGGAUUUAUUGGGCGUAAAGAGCUCGUAGGCGGUUUGGUAAGUCUGGUGUGAAAUCUCCACGCUCAACGUGGAGGGGCCACCCGAUACUGCCAUGACUGGAGUCCGGUAGAGGAGUGUGGAAUUCCCGGUGUAGCGGUGAAAUGCGCAGAUAUCAGGAGGAACACCGGUGCGAAGGCGGUUCUCUGGGGCAUGACCUGACGCUGAGGAGCGAAAGUGUGGGGAGCGAACAGG
rnacentral:rRNA from 1 species